CACGCAGGUGGCGAGAUAAGUUGGAUGUGAAAUUCCCGUGCUUAACAUGGGGACUGCAUCCAAAACUGUUGAACUGGAGUACUGUAGAGGGAGGUAGAAUUCCACGUGUAGCGGUGAAAUGCGUAGAGAUGUGGAAGGAUACCAGAGGCGAAGGCGGCCUCCUGGACAGAUACUGACACUGAGGUGCGAAAGCGUGGGUAAGCAAACA
rnacentral:rRNA from 1 species